UAAAAUAAGAAAUAAGAUAAAGCACUCACUCCGAAUGUAAUGUUAGCGCUUCGUGUAUGACAAACUGUAUUCUGAUAGCUAUAUUGGGUUUUACAUUGAUUUUCGGUGUUUCAGAUAGUCUUAGAUUUUCAGUGAGUCUUGCUCAGCCAUAGAGAAUGUCAGCCGGCAUACAAUGAAAAGCUUUGUGGUACUGACGGUAGAACAUACCGCAAUUUUUGCGAAUACGAAAAGGCGAGAUGUACACACAGAGAUCUUCACGUUGCCAAAUUUGGAGACUGCAAUGCUUAAUUUUGAAAUGCAUAUUGUAUAGUUUUAGACAUUCAAUAUAGAUCAAAGAAAUGCUAA